CUAAACAUAUGGAGAGCCAAUAGUUAGAAAAUAUAUAGUACAAAAAUAGGUGGAAUAUAAUUGUACGGUAGGCCAUGAAUGUCAUGUUAGAGAAUCAAAAUUAUUUAAAUAUCUUAUUAGCCAUUUCCAUAAUAUGGAGGUCGGUCGCUUUUCUCCAUUUGAGGAAGAGCAUCAUAUGUUCUUCAACAUCAAAGAUAAGUUUUUUGGAUUUCAUAGAAAGCUCAAGAUAGAGGAUUUUCUUGACUAGAUCACAACUAUUAAGUUAUAUUAGCAGGCAUCUUGUAACUAUUCAUAUGUGAUUUUGGAAAUUACAUCAUCGAUUCGGCAAAGACAAAACUAUCGGACAAUUUUUCUAAGAAGAUGGCUAACCUAUCUUACACCUCUUACCUCCUCAUAUUUCUCCUUGUCAUCAUCUCAGGCGAGAUGGUGGUGUCUCAAGAAAUCAAAAAUAAUUAUUGCACGACAUUUCUCAACCAUCGGUGUGUCAAUAGGCUUUGUAGCAGACAAUGCCUCGAAAAAAUGACUGGACUCGGGAAAUGCCUUUAUAGUACGAAUUCAGAUGUUAUUUGGUGUGUUUGUGCUCAUCCAUGCCAAUAAGUAUAUAUAUAAACAGAAUAAAAAUGAUAAAAUUCUUUGUUGAACUAGAAAAUGUACACAUAUCAGUUUACUUUAAAGGCUUUGAGACUUGCUAUAA